rnacentral:lncRNA from 1 species
UCUCUCUGAGCUCCAGGUAGAUUCUGAGUUUGAAGUGUGCUCCAUAAAAGCAGUCUGAGUAAUUAUUACAGAGAAUGCCGUCAGACAACCUUCCAAACUAGUUGAAUAAAGAAUGUGUCAAAGAUUACAGGUAUAAAGGAAUUCCCAGCAAGGAAUUUACUAGGCAUUUCUACUUCUUAAGGAGCACGUUCCUACUCUUAAGGAGCACAGGACUUUCCGUUUCUGCUUUUCUUUUUGUUUAGUGUUUUGGUUUUGGUUUGGUUUUAACUUACCAGAACAUGUCACGCCAGCAUCUUCAUUGUGAUUGCAAUAAUGCUUUCCCCAUUCAUGGUGUUUACAUUGCCAGAUAGCAGGUUCAUGUCCCUGGCAAGAAACGCUGUCAAGCCAGAUGUGUCCAAAUCCCUUACUGGCGUUAACUCGACCAAUGGCUGUGACGGCAGUUGGACAUCCCAGUUGCUUGCAUGCCACAGCAGCAUCGUAACUGUCCCAGCCGUCAUCACAUAUUGUCCCCCAUUCUCCUUGGAAUCUCACUUCUAAUCUUCCUGAACAUUCAGUGACUCCAUCUACCAGUCUCAGGCUCAGAUCUGCUCCCUCUGUAACAGAGACACACAACAGGUCUGCGAUAAGGAAGCAAGAACAUGAGACUAUAAAUAGCUAUACCUGAGAUGAGUUAAGGAAAAGGGGAGAGAUAUAAGUGGAGACAGAGAAAACUGUGAUGUACUGUACUACCACUGGAAAUCAUUCAAGAUGGAAGGAGGAGUGGAUCAGGCAAGAAGAUGGGACAUCUCAGUAUAGACAGCAUAUACUACAGGAAGUGUUUCUAACAGGAGAUACAGGGACUGAAUUUCAUCUAGAGACCUGCUAUUUGACCACCACAGAGUUCUUGUUAGAACUGUUUACUUUUUCUGGUUAAAAUAUAUUUGCAUGUGUUUAGGUGACUCCCUCAUCCUUCAGUUUGCCUCCAUACUUAGCAAUCCCUUUUGCCUCUGACUGCAUUCUCCAUUGAUACUACCUAGCCUGUGUUGUACACCUGAACCUGUUGUGACCACUUCCUUAGUUUAAAAGCAGAGCAAAGAGAAAGGAGGCUUCAGUACUACAAUUUUCACCUUCCCCAAAUCAAUAUUCUUCAAAGAACAGACGUUGAUUCUGAAGAAUAUUCUGUAAUAAAUUAAACUGGUUGUUUCCUCUGGCAGUUUCCGUUUUCAUUCCCACAAUGUUAUUCAUUGUGGGAUUGUGAUUCGUCAGCAUGUGCUAACUGGGGGCCUAGAGAAAUGUUGAUGGGUAAAAGAGAAUGGAAGGUACAGUCUGUGUUUUUUCUACUCCAAAUUCUUCACAUUCUUAACCUAACAAAAUCUAUCUUUCUUGUAGGAGUUCCAUUCAUUGUGGUUCAGGCUAUAGCUGAUCACAUUGUUCAACAAGAAAAAGCUUGUUCAAGACAUGCAGAAAGAGAUAGAACCCAGAUGACAUUGUUCAAGAACCUGAAUCCAACCAUGCAUGAGGCUAACUAUACCCUCUGGAUUUCCCAGUUUUUUCCAGAGAGCUGACUCAUUUCCGUUGCAUAUAAGAUCAUCAAACCAGAUUGGUCCAGAGCCUUCUCCAAAAUUAGAUGAACCAGAGAAACUGACAGCACUUCCACAUUCAAGUUGUCUACAAAUGACAGAUGCAUGAUCUAUGUUGAAGUUAUCAUCACACACUGUUCCCCACCGUCCUUGGAAUUUGAUCUCUAUUCUUCCAGAACACAUAUUCCCUCCACGCGUCAGCCUCAUUUCCAAAUUGGAUCCAUCUGGAGCAGAGAAAAGACCAGAGUUCAGAAGUUACAUUCAUUUAGAAGUGAUUUUAGAAAAGAAGUUUCCUCUGGACACUUGGGAUUUUAUGUUGUCCUUAAAAUGGUGCCUGAUUUUGGACAUUGCCCAGCUCCACACGGUAGAGAAUUUUAAUAUGUUAAAAUCU